GACGAACGCUGGCGGCGUGCUUAACACAUGCAAGUCGAACGCUGAAGCUUGGUGCUUGCACUGGGUGGAUGAGUGGCGAACGGGUGAGUAAUACGUGAGUAACCUGCCCUUGACUCUGGGAUAAGCCUGGGAGACUGGGUCUAAUACUGGAUACGACAUGUCACCGCAUGGUGGUGUGUUGAAAGGGGUUUACUGGUUGUGGAUGGGCUGACGGCCUAUCAGCUUGUUGGUGGGGUAAUGGCGCACCAAGGCGACGACGGGUAGCCGGCCUGAGCGGGUGAGCGGCCACACUGGGACUGAGACAAGGCACAGACUACUCCGGGAGGCAGCAGUGGGGAAUAUUGUACAAUGGGCGGAAGCAUGAUGCAGCGAAGCCGCGUGAGGGAUGACGGCAUUCGGGUUGUAAACCUCUUUCAGCAUGGAAGAAGCGAAAGUGACGGUACGUGCAGAAGAAGCGCCGGCUAACUACGUG
rnacentral:rRNA from 1 species